CACGUAGGGCGCGAGCGUUGUCCGGAAUUAUUGGGCGUAAAGAGCUCGUAGGCGGCCUGUUGCGUCCGCUGUGAAAGCCCGGGGCUUAACCCCGGGUCGGCAGUGGAUACAGGCAGGCUAGAGGUAGGUAGGGGAGAAUGGAAUUCCCGGUGUAGCGGUGAAAUGCGCAGAUAUCGGGAGGAACACCGGUGGCGAAGGCGGUUCUCUGGGCCUUACCUGACGCUGAGGAGCGAAAGCGUGGGGAGCGAACAGG
rnacentral:rRNA from 1 species